rnacentral:rRNA from 1 species
GACGAACGCUGGCGGCGUGCCUAAUACAUGCAAGUCGAACGAGAGCGACCGGUGCUUGCACUGGUCAAUCUAGUGGCGAACGGGUGAGUAACACGUGGGUAACCUGCCCAUCAGAGGGGGAUAACAUUCGGAAACGGAUGCUAAUACCGCAUAGGUCUUCGAACCGCAUGGUUUGAAGAGGAAAAGAGGCGCAACCUUCUGCUGAUGGAUGGACCCGCGGUGCAUUAGCUAGUUGUUGAGGUAACGGCUCACCAAGGCCGCGAUGCAUAGCCGACCUGAGAGGGUGAUCGGCCACAUUGGGACUGAGACACGGCCCAAACUCCUACGGGAGGCAGCAGUAGGGAAUCUUCCGCAAUGGACGCAAGUCUGACGGAGCAACGCCGCGUGAGUGAAGAAGGUCUUCGGAUCGUAAAACUCUGUUGUUAGAGAAGAAUAAGUGCUAGAGUAACUGUUAGCGCCUUGACGGUAUCUAAACAGAAAGCCACGGCUAACUACGUG